rnacentral:rRNA from 1 species
GUGCCAGCAGCCGCGGUAAUACCGGCAGCCCGAGUGAUGGCCGAUCUUAUUGGGCCUAAAGCGUCCGUAGCUGGCUGCGCAAGUCCGUCGGGAAAUCCAGUAGCUCAACUACUGGGCGUCCGGCGGAAACUACAAGGCUUGGGACCGGAAGGCUCGAGGGGUACGUCCGGGGUAGGAGUGAAAUCCUGUAAUCCUGGACGGACCGCCGAUGGCGAAAGCACGUCGGGAAGACGGAUCCGACGGUGAGGGACGAAAGCCAGGGUCUCCAACCGGAUUAGAAACCCGGGUAGUCC